UAAUUAAUAUCUGAGUCAGAUUUUUUUUAUUUUAUUAAGUUGAGGUUAUAUUUAUAUAUUUAACAACAUGAUAAUUUAUUUAUUUAUGCGUGUAUUUAUUUACAAAGACAUUUAUAUUUCUAAAGUAGUUAUAGUGCAACUUCUGCACACAGCACCUUUUCUUCUCAGUUCCUCUAACUGUAUGAUAACAUGACCUAUGACCUAUGACCCCCCCACCCCUCCUUCCUCUGGAUAGUGAAUAGUGCUACCCCCCAAAUAACAACAUUGAUAGAGGGCCUGUUUCCCCAAAUAACAACACUGAUACAGGGCCAGCUUCCCUCAAUAACAACACUGAUACGUGUUCCCCCAAUAACAACACUGAUACAGGGCCAGCUUCCCCCAAUAACAACACUGAUACAGGGCCAGCUUCCUCCAAUAACAACACUGAUACAGGGCCAGCUUCCCCCAAUAACAACACUGAUACAGGACC
rnacentral:lncRNA from 13 species